GGGAAUCCGGUGUGAAUCCGGAACUGUCCCGCAACGGUGUACUCGCGCGCAUCCGCACGCUUGUUCAGUCCGAGGACC
rnacentral:ncRNA from 15 species